UACGUAGGGGCAAGCGUUGUCCGGAAUCAUUGGGCGUAAAGAGCGUGUAGGCGGUCCGGUAAGUCCGCUGUGAAAGUCGGGGGCUCAACCCUCGAAUGCCGGUGGAUACUGUCGGGCUAGAGUGCGGAAGGGGCUACUGGAAUUCUCGGUGUAGCGGUGAAAUGCGUAGAUAUCGAGAGGAACACCUGCGGCGAAGGCGGGUAGCUGGGCCGACACUGACGCUGAGGCGCGAAAGCCAGGGGAGCGAACGGG
rnacentral:rRNA from 1 species